GCAUAUCAAUAAGCGGAGGAAAAGAAACUAACAAGGAUUCCCCUAGUAACUGCGAGUGAAGCGGGAAAAGCUCAAAUUUAAAAUCUGGCGGUUGCACCGUCCGAGUUGUAAUCUGGAGAAGCGUUUUCCGUGUUGGACCGUGUACAAGUCCCUUGGAACGGGGCGUCAUAGAGGGUGAGAAUCCCGUCCAUGACACGGACUACCAAUGCUUUGUGAUACGCUCUCGAAGAGUCGAGUUGUUUGGGAAUGCAGCUCAAAAUGGGUGGUAAAUUCCAUCUAAAGCUAAAUAUUGGCGAGAGACCGAUAGCGAACAAGUACCGUGAGGGAAAGAUGAAAAGCACUUUGGAAAGAGAGUUAAACAGUACGUGAAAUUGUUGAAAGGGAAACGCUUGGAGUCAGUCGCGUCUGUCGAGACUCAGCCUUGCCUUCGGGCUUGGUGUACUUCUCGGCCUGACGGGCCAACAUCGAUUUCGAACGGCGGAUAAAGGUCUGGGGAAGGUGGCACCUUCGGGUGUGUUAUAGCCCCUCUCCGUAUACGUCGUCUGGGAUCGAGGACCGCAGCACGCCCUUGUGGCUGGGGCCCUUUGCCCACAUAACGUGCUUAGGAUGUUGGCGUAAUGGCUUUAAGCGACCCGUCUUGAAACACGGACC
rnacentral:rRNA from 1 species